UAUGCACUGAGCUAUUUCCUAGAGGUUUUGGUCUAGUGGAAAGAACUCUAGCCUAGAAGCUCAUGGAGGAAACUCAAGAAAACAAGAAGUGAAUUACCCAGGGUUGCACAGCAAGAUGGGUGAGAAUGAAGAGUUGAGAAUGAUACCAAGAUUACAAACUUAAGUGACUGGAAGGAUGAUGGUACCCUCUACAUUAAAAGAGAAGUUCAAA